UUUAAAUUUAGUUGUAAACAGUUUAACAGUUUGCGAGUAUUUGGGGGGGGGGGGUCACUCUUAAGAGUACCACCCUACUGUAAUUAUUACUAUGUUUGAGGACUCCCUUUGAUAUUUUCCAUAUUUUAUACAGUUAACGACUUGGAAAAACAAAUAAUUUUAUCUCCCGAUUAUUGUCAUCGGGCUUAUCAUCCCCUCGUCCCUCCAGCAGCUGCGGAGUGUGGUUUCCUGUGUUUGCAUUACCCUCCCCUGAACGGGCGCACCACGAGGAAGUUAGUUACCUAUUGCUCCCACUCUGGUUCUUCCUACAUUUGCACUUUCACAGAUAAUUUUGUGACCAGCGUUUUCACAACCUAGCCUUCCCCCUCCCAUUUUAUUUCCUCGGUUGAAGUGGGAUUAUUGGAUUAAGGAAUAUGGAUUUUUGCGUGGCUUUUAAGGUGUCUUGAAUCAGCAUAUUCUUCAGUGUAAUCUUAUCUGAGCACUCAGUAUGUCGAGAUGUUUUUCUCUGGAACUAAUCAUAUUACCUCGAUUUUUAUCAGACAAUGAGCACAUGCAUUUCUUUCUGCCUGAACUGCCAGGAAGCUUAGAGCUAAAGUUCAAGUCCAGGAAUGAGUUCAUCUCAGGUGACCUGUGAUAUGUUUCUAGUUUCCGUCGCAUCGAUUUUCCACCUGGUUGUUCUUUUGGAAGACCAGGUGCUGAGGAUUGACAGUUCCCCCGGAUUUCUUGAAGAAACAGGUGGAUUAGAAAAUAAAGCUCACUCCCGUGCACACGCAAGCACACAUACCCAUGUAUUACCUUAUGUAUUGCGUCUAACAUAAAACUUCUUCUCAUUAGCAUCGUAGAGUAUAAAUUCUUGGAUCUGGAAGCUAGAAGAUGAUCUAGCGCUUUCCCCUCCUUUUACAAUAGAGACUCUGGAUUGGCGAGAGAAACGGGCCUUGUCUGGAAGCACAGAACUAUUAUGGGAUUAGAACCAAAACUAAUGAGCACCCAGGCCUUUGUAUGCCCAACCCAAACCCUGAACAAAGCAUGAGGAGCCAGUGAGUUGCUUUCCCUGUCACCUUGAUAUUUCUGCUGGGGACCCAGUUAUGCAGCAUCUGUCUUUCCUCUCUCUCUUCCUUUGAUCCCCAUCACACCACCCUCCUCGAGGUGUGUGUAGUUCAUUCCUAGCGCACAGGUUCUGUCCACGCCAUUCCUUCUCAAACACCAGUGCUCCGCUGGUUUGUUGGGGUGGCCUUGACAAAGCACUGCAGGCUGGCAGGCUAAGUCCACAGAAGUGUAUUGUCUCACAGCCCUGGGGGCUAAAGAUCUGAAAUCAAGGUACUGGAAGGGCCACACUCCCUCUGGAGGCUCUGGGGGAGAAUCUAGUCCAGGCCUCUCUUCUCGGCCAUCUUCUCCCUCUGUCUCUUUGCCUCAUCUUCCCUCUCUGUGUGUUUCUGCAUCCAGGCGUCCUCCUUUAAUAAGAAUACUGGUCACGUGGAUUAGAGCCCACCCUAGAGACCUUGCUUUGACCUGACCACGUCCGUGAGGACCCCAGCUCCAGAUAAAGGCAUGCUUUGGAAUUCAACAUAAGAACUUGUUGGGGGAUGCAAUUUGACGUCUAACAGUUGCCAAGGUCAUUUCUCCAAGUUUUCAUCUCCCUCUUCAAAAUCUUUCAUUGUCUUGAGUUACCAAAUGGAGUCCAAAUUCCUCCCUGUGGUGUUGAUGCUCUCCCACAACCCCGUGGUAAUGGAUCCUUGUUCUCCCCUCACUCUCCACGCCCCCGUCUCUCCACCCUGCCGUCCAGCUGCAUUGCUCUCGGAUUCCAAGCGUCCCACACUUUCCCGCCUCCAAACACAGGCUCCAGCGGCUCUUUCUGCCUAGAGCGCCCUCUUCCUCCGCACCAGCGGCCCGUCUCCGGUGUCUUCUCUGCCACCUCCUACUUUCACUCAGCCGUGUCUCCUCCACGCGGCCUUGUUUUGGUACCUCGCUGGCAGUUAAGGAUUAUGAUCGCUGUGUUGCAAGCACUCCGUGUUCCCUCCUGCUAUCCUGCAUCCUCCUUAAGAGUCAGGGCUCACCCAUCCGUCCACAUCUCUCAGCGCCGUUCUUUUCCAGCUCCCCUCUAAGUGAUUGCUGCUACCUUUUAUGAACACACAGGAGCUAAAGGAGAUACUCUGUUGUGGGAUCAAUAACAACACAGCGGGGUCAUCUAACAUAGCUCUUGUCAUAACGCCACGCAGACUAAGCAUGAUGUAUGUUCAUCAUGUUAGUAUGUAAAAUAAGGGUUGGCUGUAGCAUUGAAAUACAAUAAGGGUUGGCUGUAACGUGUGAGAUCGCCGGUGUGUGGGCAUGUGUUGAAUGGGAGCUAAUUACUUUUACGAGGAAAUUCCCUUUGUCCUCCACAUUUUCCCCUCCUCACCGAAAAUUCCAUGAAGUUCAUUUCUAAAGAAGAGUAAAUAUCCAGAUGGCCAAGGGAAUGACCUUUCUCGAACAGAGGGGAUGAAUUUGCUAUCCAGCCAAAUGUUUGAAAUUCUUCCACCAGCGUGCAUAAUGGAGAAAGAUGUGUUAAUUACCCUUAAGUGACAGCUGGUAGGACGGAGACCACUCGGAGAGGAAUACUGAUCUGGAGUCAUUGUGAGCGGUUGGAAGAGGUAAGGCCCUGGGCACGAUAUUUGAAUGAGCAGCUCAUGUGCAGAUUCUGUAUACACUGUGGCCUGCGGGCCUUAUGGCAACCGGCCAACGCCUGUCAGGCAACAAAAGCACCAGUGUAGCUCUUUGGGUGACAUUUCAAUGAGUGACAGAGGGAAAAAUCCCAAACAUGUAAUCCUCCCUACUUUUAUUAUAGUUCUAUGGCUCAAAAUGGGUGGCUGACAAAGAGAAAGACAAUUCCGGAAAGGGGAGUUGAGAUUUUCCUUUUCAACCCCUGCAGCAGCAAAUGGACAGCACACACAUGGUGGACUGUUAUUUAAGGGACUCUCGUGAGGGUGCAGCCCUUGACUCAGCACUGUGGACUUUUCGAAGAGGAAGCAGGAAAUACGAUCCCUGCCCCAAGGGAGUCCGUCUUGGCAUUGGGUGGAGAGCAAUUUGAUUAUCUCACGUCUUUCCAGAUCCAAGAUUGUAUGAUUCCAUGAUCAAGAAAGAGAACUAUGUUAUCUCUAAACGGCAGUAAUGUCAUGAAUAUUCUUUUGUCUAAAGAGUGACUCAUAUUCCCUGACUAAUGUAAUUUACCAUAUUGUUCAGAUUUCAUAACACAAACCUGCACAAGAGAGCUUUUGGAUUUAUUUUUCCCUUCCCUGUUGCUGACUAAAUACUUUUUCUUUCACCUGGAGCCGUGUGAAAGAUGGGAUUACUUGGCUUCUCUGAAAUCUAAUAUAAUGGCAUGUCAGCUUCCAGAGUAACCACUUUGUCGUUCAUUGGUACAUUUCUGGAAAAAACUGUGUGGUUUUAGUCUAGGGAAAAUACAUUCAGAUCUUUUUUCCUUCAAAUGUGUAAAAUGUGUGAGACUUGGAGAAAGUGGCGUGACCCGGUGAGAAAAUGAGAGCGCCCAGCAUUGCCAAAUGCUGCUGAGAGGCUGAGCAAGAGGCAGAACUGCAAAACUGAUCAUUGAACACGGCAUUUAAGUAGCUCUUGGGGAUCUCAUCUAGGACAGUUUGGGUGGAUUGUUGGGAGCAAAAAUCAGAUGCAGGGCAGUGAACAAGGGUUGGGAAGUGGCUACAGACCAUUUCUCUAUUUCUCCGCCAAGCUCUGGGCAGGAGAGGCAGGGGGGGUGGGUGUGCACGGACCGUGGGAGCUGCCCAGCCCGGGCACUAACAACGUCAGCACGCCUCUGUGCUUGCAGCACAGGCAGCCGCCCCUGGGAUUCUGUUUCGUUUUGUUUGCUCUUAGCCACAGCGUGCGUGCGUGUGUGGGAAUGCGUUUGUUCUAUUCCUUCCUAUUUCCUGUGCCUUCCUCCACCUCCCCUCCCGUGCAGGGCCUCUUAGAAAGGUUCACGAUGGGCUGGGUAACUUUCUGUCAAAUGCCUUGAGCUCUUCGCAAGAAACCUACCCUAAGAUUCUGACAAAAAA